rnacentral:rRNA from 1 species
GGAGGAAAGCCCAGCACCGAAUCCUUCACCAUAUCGGUGACAGGAAAUGUGGUGUUUAGGCCGUACUUUGUCCUGAUACGUCUCUCCUCAAGUCCACUUGAUUGUGGCCCUCGGCCCAGAGAGGGUGUAAGGCCCGUGGAGGCGAGAUGUUCAGUACCUGGUGCGUCCUUAGAGUCGGGUUGUUUGGGAAUGCAGCCCUAAGCGGGUGGUAAACUCCAUCCAAGGCUAAAUACCAGCACGAGUCCGAUAGCGAAGAAGUACCGCGAGGGAAGGUUGAAAAGAACUUUGAAGAGAGAGUUCAAGAGUACGUGAAACCGCUGAGAGGCAAACUGGUGGAACUGAAAUGGUCUCGAGGAAUUCAGCCGUUGGUGUUUGUACAGCCGGUGUCGUCUGAUUUAACGACAGCUUCAUCGGUUGACGCUUACGUCAUCGGUGCACUUUCCUCGUUGUGGACCCGACCACGACCGGUGAGCUGCUCUGUCCAUCGUGCUUGGAAGGUAGCGCCGUCUUCGGAAGGCGUGUUAUAGACUUGCGCAUGGAGCAGUACGGCACACUGGACGAUAGUGCCUGCCCAUUGGGCUCAUAUGGUGGUUGUUUUAUUGGCGAGUUCCGAUGUCACUACUUCGGUAGAGGCAUUGGUCUCUGUCAGCAUUAUGACUGUCCGCUAUGAUUGGCGCUGGUAAGUCUGUGGUUGUGAAGUAGGUAGUCCACCUGACCCGUCUUGAAACACGGACCAAGGAGUCUAACAUGUGCGCGAGUCAUUGGGUUCGCGAAACCUAAAGGCGAAGUGAAGGUAAAGAUCUGUUUUGGCAGAUUGAGGUGGGAUGCUGGGUUACGCGCCCAGCCGCACUACCGGCCCGUUCUACAUGUAUCUCAUGGGGGCGGAGCAAGAGCGUACACGUUGGGACCCGAAAGAUGGUGAACUAUGCUUGCGCAGGU